rnacentral:misc_RNA from 1 species
GAUGAAGAACGUAGCGAAAUGCGAUAAGUAAUGUGAAUUGCAGAAUUCAGUGAAUCAUCGAGUCUUUGAACGCACAUUGCGCCCCCUGGUAUUCCGGGGGGCAUGCCUGUCCGAGCGUCAUUGCUGCCCUCAAGCACGGCUUGUGUGUUGGGCCGCCGUCCCCGGUUUCCCCCGGGGACGGGCCCGAAAGGCAGCGGCGGCACCGCGUCCGAUCCUCGAGCGUAUGGGGCUUUGUCACCCGCUCUGUAGGCCCGGCCGGCGCCAGCGGACACCCAACUUUAUUUCUAAGGUUGACCUCGGAUCAGGUAGGGAUACCCGCUGAACUUAAGCAUAUCAAUAAGCGGAGGA